rnacentral:rRNA from 1 species
GGGGAAUAUUGCACAAUGGGGGAAACCCUGAUGCAGCCAUGCCGCGUGUGUGAAGAAGGCCUUCGGGUUGUAAAGCACUUUCAGUAGGGAGGAAAGGUAAUAGUUUAAUACGCUAUUACUGUGACGUUACCUACAGAAGAAGGACCGGCUAACUCCGUGCCAGCAGCCGCGGUAAUACGGAGGGUCCGAGCGUUAAUCGGAAUUACUGGGCGUAAAGCGUGCGCAGGCGGUUUGUUAAGCGAGAUGUGAAAGCCCCGGGCUCAACCUGGGAAUUGCAUUUCGAACUGGCGAACUAGAGUCUUGUAGAGGGGGGUAGAAUUCCAGGUGUAGCGGUGAAAUGCGUAGAGAUCUGGAGGAAUACCGGUGGCGAAGGCGGCCCCCUGGACAAAGACUGACGCUCAGGCACGAAAGCGUGGGGAGCAAACAGGAUUAGAUACCCUGGUAGUCCACGCCGUAAACGAUGUCUACUCGGAGUUUGGUGUCUUGAACACUGGGCUCUCAAGCUAACGCAUUAAGUAGACCGCCUGGGGAGUACGGCCGCAAGGUUAAAACUCAAAUGAAUUGACGGGGGCCCGCACAAGCGGUGGAGCAUGUGGUUUAAUUCGAUGCAACGCGAAGAACCUUACCUACUCUUGACAUCCACGGAAUUCGCUAGAGAUAGCUUAGUGCCUUCGGGAACCGUGAGACAGGUGCUGCAUGGCUGUCGUCAGCUCGUGUUGGGAAAUGUUGGGGUUAAGUCCCGCAACGAGCGCA